CUUCCCUUCCCUUCCCUUCCCUCGGCCGACUCGACCCGACCCCGCGGCCGAAAUAAAGCAAGCGACCCACGCAGCGCCAGUGAACCCCACACCACCACCGUCUCUUCUCAGUUCUCACUUCUCACCGCGCGUUUCUCUUCUGCCCCCGCUCCACGCCAGGCAAACCGAAGCCCCCACCACACGACGCCGCCCACCCUCCCCUCCCCUCCUCUGGAAUCGGGCGGGGGAAGAAGUAGUAUUCAGGCCUGGCCGGCGGCGGCAUGGACCGCAUCGUCGGCCGCAAGUUCAAGCUCGGCCGGAAGAUCGGCUCCGGCUCCUUCGGGGUCAUCUACCUCGCCACGGAUAUGGACACCUACGAGAUCGUCGCGGUGAAGAUUGAAAGUAGCACCUCGAAGCAUCCCCAGCUGUUUUAUGAGGCAAAGAUCUACAACGCCCUGCAAGGAGGAAGUGGCAUUGCGAAUGUUAAAUGGUGUGGUGUGGAUGGGGAGGAAAAUGUUCUUAUCAUUGAUCUGUUGGGCCCGAGCUUAGAAGAUUUGUUUGUCUACUGCGGCAGAAAAUUCACCUUGAAGACUGUCCUAAUGCUUGCAGACCAAAUGCUUACAAGGAUAGAAUUUAUGCAUUCCAAAGGAUACUUGCAUAGAGACAUAAAACCUGACAAUUUCCUAAUGGGUCUUGGCCGGAAGGCAAAUCAGGUCUAUGUAAUUGAUUUUGGGCUUGCAAAAAGAUACCGUGAUUCUACUACGAAUCGACAUAUUCCUUACAGGGAACAUAAGAACUUAACUGGCACUGCACGUUAUGCAAGUAGCAACACUCACCUUGGAAUUGAGCAAAGUCGACGGGAUGAUUUGGAAUCUCUUGGCUAUGUUCUCCUAUAUUUUCUCCGAGGAAGUCUUCCCUGGCAGGGACUAAAAGCUGCAACGAAAAAGCAGAAGUAUGAGAAGAUAUGUGAGAAAAAGAUUUCAACACCUAUCGAGGUGUUAUGCAAAUCCUGUCCAGUAGAAUUUGCAUCUUACUUCCACUACUGCAAGUCAUUGACAUUUGAUCAGCGGCCUGAUUAUGGAUUCGUGAAGCGCCUUUUUCGAGACUUAUUCGACCGCCAAGGUUAUGAUUUUGAUUAUGUCUUUGACUGGACUGUUUUGAAAUAUAAACAAGGCCAAAAGACCCAGCAUGUUCCUGGGGCAACUAUUACUCGAGCAAUCCCAACACAUCUUGACAAACGAGCGGGUGUAAAUGGGGAUGUCCAUCCAAAUGAAGCCCAUGAACAGAUGGAGUCAAGCCAUAUGACCGGGUCAGCUGCACAGUUACAGAGGCAAAAUAUGGCUGCCAGUGCCAGAAAUGAAAACCCGAAGAAUGAUGGGAAUUCAAGACAUAUAGUGCGUAUUGACGCUUUUCAUCAAAAUCAGGGUUUUGACAGCAAUACUGGCUCUCCUAGCGCUUGUUUUCCGACACUUCCGCACAAUGCCCCAGCAAGGUGAUAGGUCACCUCUCUUGUGGAGCUAGAAAUGUGGAAAUGCUCAACUAGACUCCAUUUCUUUUAGAGUGGUCAGAUUCAAGAAUCACAAAAUCAAUUGAAACAUCUUGAUGCCUAAUGCAUGUUACAAAGAUGGCUACAGAUCCGAUUGAUUAUGCAAGGUUUUGAUCACUGCUGCGUUGGAUGCUCCAGCAGUUUCUGUCACUCUUACUUCAGACAUUUUGUUGUCACAGUUGCGGAGGACAUGCGCCUAUUGUGUUUAUCCUCUCCUGAAUCGAGAAAGGACUAGUUCCACUCCACUUGGGAGUUGGAGCACCCCAAAAGUUGAGCGUUUUGUCCAGCCAAGUGCUGCCUCCACUCACUGCCAGCACUUGUAUGCUUUGUUACACGAACGGCAAUGAUGCAACACCUGCUUUAUGGAAUCUUCCAUUUUUAUUGUGCAGAAAAGAAGAAGAAGAGGAAGAGGAACACGCACUUUUUGUCAGGUGUAUGCAUCGCCGCUACGUAAUCAGGUGCACGUAGAGGUCUCACUUACGUGCGCACGUGUUACCACACCAAAGCGUACAUUUCGUGUUGCAUUGUUUCAGUACCAACACGAUGGCAAAAUGUCUGCACAGACAGGUUUUUGUCUCUGCCUUACGCCACUCGAUGUCACAGAGCACUGAAUUAUGGACUGGACUUAGCUUCAUAAUUUGUUGAUCACCACGAAAUAAAUAAAAGAUGUUUUCUUUUUGCGAGGGGAAAUAAAAGAUGAUGUUUGUUUGGAACUUUAAAGAGGCUUUAGCUUGGGCGAGAACAACAAUUAGUCUGUCCCUGCACUGCACGGCCAGAUUAGGCAAUGAUGGAACGCAGAGCACAGCAUUCCGUAGUGGAUCGCAUCAUAGCCGAGCAACCCUUUCGCUUAUCAUAACACAUUCUGCGCCAUCCUUUUUCGAGGAACCUGGAAACACUUCCCAUUUACAACCUAUGUCCCUCUACCCCGGUUAGGUGACAUACAUACACGUAGGACUUCUGCCAAGUCACGAGGAGUAAAAAUAAACUGAAAUACUCCCUCCGUCCCAUAAUGUAAACGUUUUUUUUGACAUCUUGCAUUAUGAGACGGAGGGAGAAGUUGGCAUCUCUUCGUGAAACGAUUUGCUACUUUAUUGGGAUGUAAAUGGCAAGUAAGCGGCAUCGUCAAGUCCCGUUUAUUAGGUAGCUCCCUAGUUCAUUUUCGCCCAAAAGAAAACAAAAUUUUGAACUGUUAGUUUAUUAGUGUGUUUAAACGGGAAUAGACGGGACCCAAGUCCCAUCUUGUAGUACUAAUUUUUCGUCUUUUUGUCGUGUUUUCAAAGUUAUUUCUAGUUAAUUAUACUUUGGGGGUUCAUGCAAGCAUUAUUUGCUAGAGUACACAUAAAACCAGGCAUAACGUGAUAAGCUAUGAAACUAGCGUAAUUUUGUUAAUUCAUGCAUGAAUGCGUAUGUUAUUGUUUGAUGUUGUGUGCGCGCAUGCGUGCUGGAAGCCCGUUGUUGUUCUUGUUUCUAGUCAAGCCAUGUUAUUCAGUACUGAAAUCUGACCAUUACUUGUUCUAAUUACAUGUUAGCAUAGUCACAAUAAACACUGGUUUGAAUCUUCAACUUGGACGCAUAACCGGCUUUAUCUAGAAAAGACUCCGCAGUUCGUUCUCUCCAUUCGAGGAGCAGAAUGCUUUCGCACGGACGGCGGAAAACCCGGGCUGCUGGUGGAAUAAUUCUCUCUGACCAGAAAAGGUCUUGUUCUUAAGCACCCAAUCAUGAACCUCCUCUCAUCAAUUAUUUCCUGGGAGCAUUAAGAAAGAAUCCAUCCCCAAAUAUUCAGGCAGGAGGUAAAGCUCCAACUCUCGCAUGUUUUCUGAAAAGCUACAAGUGCUGUUCAGUUAAAGCUUGUACAGUAGUAAAUCUAAUGCUAGCAUGGGUUCUAGUUGAAACGUGCAAUGCCAAACCCAAACAUUUCUGUUCCUCAAGUUGCAGACACUCCUAGUCUCCUAUGAUCUACCCACUACUUGCCUCGACAUCAUGGAGACUAGCCGAACUCUGUGCUCUCUGUUGCCGCCAAUGGUUUUUGGAUAAUAGACAUCAUGAUCAGUGCAAAUUUUCAGACGAAACCUCACAUCUGCAUGUACGCUACUACCAGUGCUCAUCAGAGUUCAGAGAAAAGCAGAUUGGGCAUGUAGCAUGGUGUUUGCUGUUAGUCCCAGAUUAUACGGCAAUGGAGGAAUGCCUUGAUCAGCAGCAGCAGCAGCAGAAGAAGAGCAACAAUGGGCAGCUCCAGAGGCUUGAGGGCAUCGAGGAGGAAGGCGGCCAGGCCCCGGCGGAGAAGUGGCCUCCGACGACGGUGCGGGCGCCGGAGACCCCGACGGAGACCAUGGAGUUCCUCGCAAGGUCCUGGAGCCUUUCGGCCGCGGAGAUAUCCAAGGCGCUCAAGGUGCUGAGCAGCAAGGGCGUCUGCGACAUCCCUGACGUCGGCGUCGUCGCGGGCGCAGGUAAAGAGCAGAGACCGCCGCCGCCGCCACCACUUGACGCGACAAUGGCGGCGGCGCAGGCAGGAGGAGGAGUGGCGAGCCCGCCGUUCUCUCCCAGGGCGGGCAACAUGGACGCGCAGCUCCUCCGGGCCGCCGCCGCCGCGGGGAGGGCAGGGGGCGGCAAGACGACGAUGGGCGCGUGGAUCAAGGAGCAGAAGGAGAAGAAGCGCGCCGAGGCCCGGUCCCGCAACGCGCAGGCGUACGCGGCGACGUCCGUGGCCGGGGUCGCGGCGGCGGUGGCCGCGCUGGUCGCCGGCGCGGUGUUCUCGUCCUCGCCCGCUCCUCCUCCUCCUCCCCCCGCCGCCGCGGCGCCGGAGCGCGCCCAGAGGGGCGACGGCGGGGCGAAGACGGCGGCGGCCAUCGCGUCGGCGGCGGCGCUGGUGGCGUCGCACUGCGUGGAGAUGGCGCAGGCGAUGGGCGCGAGCCACGAGCAGAUCCUGGGGUCCAUCCAGUCGGCCGUGAACGCGCAGUCGAGCGGCGACAUCAUGGCGCUGACCGCCGGCGCGGCGACGGCGCUGCGCGGGGCCGCCAUGCUGCGGGCGAGGCUCCACAAGGAGAUCCAGGCCACCGCCCUGCCCGGGGACGCCGGCAGGGCGGCGUCGGAGCGGGACAUCUCGCCGCUCAUCUUCGUGUCCAGAGGCGGCGAGCUCCUCAAGCGCACGAGGCAGGGUAUCCUCCAUUGGAAGCUUGUGACGGCGUACAUAGACCCCAACUUCCAGGUGGUCAUCAAGAUGAAGAGCGCGCACAUGGCGGGAACGUUCAUCAAGACCAAGAAGUGUGUUGUGGUGGACGUCCGGUCGGAGGUGGCGGCGUGGGCGGGGAGGGAGGUGGAGGAGGGUGGCCGUCGGAGGGGCUACUUCGGGGUCCGGACGGAGGAGCGGGUGAUCGAGUUCGAGUGCCGGAGCAGGCAGGAGCAGCACAAGUGGGUGCAGGGCAUCACCGAGAUGCUCAACCGCCGCGACAACAUGAACAUGAACAUCACCCACCUUGUAAACUAAAUCAGUCAGAUGCCAUGGAAAUGCAGCACUCCGUCGGUGCUAUUCUGGCUUCGUGUGAUCGAUCACAUCUGCAUGUAUAUAUGUUACUCCUUGUGACUCAGUAUUCUGCUUGUGUUGGAAAAAAAUUCAGUACUAUUCUGCUUGUGGUCUGAACGCCACGAAUCCCCCGAGACUCGACUCACCGUGUAUAGUAUAGCUUGGGCACCUCUGUUUCCCCCAAGUCCCAGCGGCAGCGCCGCCGCCGCAGCGCGUCGUGCUCUCCCUCUCCCUCUCCCUCCUCCGGGUGUCAUGUUCGCGCACGGCUCUCUCGCGAGGUUUAGCCGGCUUGCUCGAACCCGAAGGCCCCCGCUGGUCGCUGCCUCCCCGCUCCGCUAUCUCCAGGGAUCAGUUGGUCCAAAUAAUUUGCCCUCUGUCAUGGAACGGUCGCAGGGAGCUUCAAAUAAUGCGGCGAAACACAGGAAAACUAAUCCACCCGUGCAGACAUGGAGGCCAGUCUCAACACAAGCAUCUCCCCGGGAAGCUCACCUUGAUGAGAUAUCCAAUUCCGGAAGGAAGCAAAUGGCAGGGACUUCCAUCACUGAUAGUGAGAAUUUGGUGUUGGAUGAAACAACUAAUGUUGGCAUUGAAGUAACCACCAAUAAUACUUUCUCGUCAGAAAGUAGUUCCACCUUUAGUUCCAGUGCAACUAAAGUAGCUGCAGAAAACACUAUGGAGGUUAUCAGAGAAAAAUAUUCCUCUUCUGUUGAGGUAGAUGUUCCUCUAAUGCGUUUUCUGAAAGGAAAGGGUGGGUCUGUGCAGAAGCAGAUUGAACAGGAGACUGGAGUUAAAAUCAUUUUUCCAUCUGGAAAGGAGGAAACACUAGUUGCCCUCGAAGGUAAAAGUGCUGAAAGUAUUGGAAAAGCAUCAGAGAGAAUUGCAAAGAUCCUUGAAGAGGCUGUUCAAAGUCCAAUGCUAGAUUACUCGCAUUUCAUAUCACUUCCAUUGGCCAUCCACCCCGAUCUUGUCGAGAAGCUCAAUAACUUCCAGAGGUCGAUCCUUGGGGUGUCUGCAUCUAAUAUAGAUAGUGAUAAGGAUGAAAUCCUAAGCGAAGGUUCUGUGGAUGAAAUUGAUGAAGCAGCGAGCCCUAGUGUUCCGGUCAAGCAGCCAAUCCAAGAAGAAAAGCCUGUCAUAGUGAAAAUGGAUAAUAAGGGCUCCCAACCAGAGUUCGGCAUUGACAAGUCAAUAUUCAUAAAACCCAAAACGUUCCACCUAACAGUUCUUAUGUUGAAGUUGUGGAAUAAGGAUCGUAUAGCCCAGGCUUCUGAUAUCCUCCAGUCAGUAUCUUCCCAGGUAAAUGUUGCUUUGGAAAACCGACCUAUCUCCAUACAACUUAGGGGUCUGUUUCAGACAUGCAUGAAAGGCUCACCAGCUAGGGCCAGGGUUGUAUAUGCUCCAGUACUGGAAGUUGGUGGAGAAGGACGCCUUGUCCGUGCUUGCAAGGUAAUAACUGAAGCCUUCGUCAAGUCAGGCCUAGUUCUUGAAAGGGAUGCCAGACAAGAAUUGAGGUUGCAUGCAACCAUAAUGAAUGUGCGCCACAGGAAGAGCAAGAAAUCGAACCGAAGAAACGAUUCGUUCGAUGCUCGGAAUAUAUUCAGGCAAUACGGGGAACAGGAUUGGGGCGAGUACCCAGUACCGGCGGUGCACCUAUCGCAGAGGUUCAAGUUUGACAAGGGUGGAUACUACCAUUGCUGCUGCUCGAUCCCCUUGCCCGAGGUGGCUCAGACGGAGUGAGCUCCGUGUCUUUCGACACAUCGCGACGCAGUAUCUUAUGCCCUUAAGAUCGGUACCGGGUCUUUUUUGCCGUCAUGGAAUCUGUAGUUUGGUCGCGUGGCUUUGCUUCUGUUGUUGUGGACAUUGUGCACGGUAACGAGUGCACAGGUUAUGUUAACUCAUAGACGAUCUGGGAUCACUGGUCUAGUGCCCUCAGAGCUGCUUUUCUCUCUAUCCGUUUUGUUUCCUUGCGAUGGUCUUGCCUCGCAAAUGGCCAAACGAAACGACGAAAGAGCUCGCGAAAAGCUGCUUUGUUUCUGUACAAAGUCAGUGUCGAAAACCUCUUGAGUGUAAGUGCACCGAUGCAGCUCUGCCGAUCCUGCUUGGGGAGAUAAAACUAUUGACACUGAAAUAUGAAGUGUAGAGUGAGCCAG
rnacentral:rRNA from 1 species